UCUCCUUCUGCCUGGUGGCUCCAUCCUCAGCAGCCUUCUCUCUAUAUACCCUGGGUCCCUCCUCUGCACGUGUCCAAACCAUCUCAAUCUCACCUCUCUGACUUUGUCUCCGAACUGUCCUACUUGAGCUGUCACACUGAUAUGUUCAUUCCUAAUCCUGUUCAUUCUUGUUAUUCCCAAAGAGAAUCAUAACAUCUUCAGCUCUGCCUCCUCCAGCUCUGCCUCC